UACAGAGGUCUCAAGCGUUGUUCGGAUUCAUUGGGCGUAAAGGGUGCGUAGGUGGUGCUGUAAGUCAGGUGUGAAAUCUCGGGGCUCAACCCCGAAACUGCACUUGAUACUGCGGUGCUCGAGGACUGGAGAGGAGAUUGGAAUUCAUGGUGUAGCAGUGAAAUGCGUAGAUAUCGAGAGGAACACCUGCGGCGAAGGCGGGUUGCUGGGCUGACACUGACGCUGAUGCGCGAAAGCCAGGGGAGCGAACGGG
rnacentral:rRNA from 1 species